GCCGAUCACGUCGUUGACCUGAACCUCGCGGCAGGCGCGCACGCAAAGUCCACACUGAAUGCACGCAUCGAGAUUGACGCUCAUCGCCGGAUGGCUUGUAUCGCUCGACCAACGAUCGUUUGCCGGAAAGCGGCUUUCAGUGACGUNCCUUGUCGGCCCAGUUCCAGAACUUGGAGUCGGGAUCGUGCGAUGUCUCGCGCGCCGGCUG
rnacentral:misc_RNA from 1 species